CCUCCAAGCAAUGCUCAGACUUAAAUUUGUGUGUGUGCAUGUGUGAAUUUGCAGAUCUCCAGGUGGAGCUUCUGGAGGGAACCACUGCCAUCCGCCCAUCAACUGUUCUACAAGCAAUACACUAAUUCCCAAAGCAAAAACAAAUAAACACAGCACAGUAGAAUGCAAGGAUCGUUCUGCAAGCAACUACAUGCAAACAAACAGUCCCAAAGGUGCCUUUUCAGGAGGCAACUGGACUUUCUUGUCCAGAAAAAACAAGAAAGUCCAGUUGCCCUUUGAAAAAGCACCUUUGAGACGACCAUGACCUGGGUGACUGAGAAUCUCUACAGACUUUUAUGCAAACAAACAGUGCAGGAGAAUGCAAAGUUAUUUUACAGUAUUAAAUCUGCUUUCUGUAGAUGCUGGCUAGUAGUGCUGCAAGCAAUCCCAAAGCAAACACAAACAAACACAGUAAUGAAAAACACCCUAUCUUUGUAAAGUACUUACAAACAAGCAUGGCAGUUUAUAAAGAACUGGCAAACAAACAGCACUAUAAUGAAAAAGAAGAAUCUAUGGUACUUGCAAAGGCAACUAACAGUACUCCAGUCCUCAAGGCAACAACAAUAAAAGAAGCCACAAGGCAGGAGUGCGAGAUUCAGUCCUCUAAUCCUCCACCUGGGAGCAAUGAGGAGGAAAAAAAAGUGAGGCCUGCUGGAACUUGACUGUCAUAUGACCAGGGAAAAACAUGCACCAUAUGGACCUCAGAAAUUGCCUGUUGGAACUGUGAGCAACAAAGAACAGUCACGGGACAAAAAACGGCCGCUGCUUCAGGAGUGAUUGAAUCCAGGUCCCAUGACUGCAGGGGCCUCCUGUGGUCGCAAUUUUGAACCCUUGUUUUGUUUAGAAUUUGCACCAUGGAUACCAAAGAAUGAUGAUAUUAGAAGUGGCUCCAGAACUUCGGAGACUUCCAAUAAAGAAAUGGCAAACUGACAUCCUAUGGUCAGCAAGCAACAGCUGGAUCCUGGAUUUGGACCACCAAAAUCUCUUAGAAGAAAAGAGAGCUCUUGUGAUCAGCCAUAUACAUCUGGACAGCUGGGGGUUGUGUGUGAAUAGAGGCAGAAAUGUAUGUUUUUUUACAGUUCCUUGCAAACAGUUGGGAAUUGUGGGAUUCCAUGAAGCUCAUAGCCAUCAAUGAAGCCUUCACAGACUCAAGUUUCAACCUCUUCUGAAUCACUUUGGAUUUUACUUUUUGUUCUGCUCCUUUUUAAAGAUAGAGGACCUUCAAAUUUGAUCAUAUUCACUUUUGUCACACAGCCAGAUGUUUAGGCUGGACUUGGCAUUUUUAUCUAUGCCUAUACCUAUGGAGCUCUUCCUGAGGACUUGGGAUUGGCAGGAAAUCAUACACUGGAACUAAGGUUGACAUUUCCCAAAUAAUAAAGACAAAAGAAGCUGGACUCUUACCAAGGAAUACCAGAAUGGUGCCCAUCCACUGUAAAUUACUGAUAGGAUUGGCAAAUAGAAUGA